AUCACGAAUCUUAUCAGUGGCGACGAAGAUAAAAAGUUUAAUUUCACUGCUUAAGUUCAAACUUCUACAAUUAAUAAUAGUGAAAUAGUGGAGUUUUGCAUGCAAGCCGUUGACGUUUGAGAACCGGGAGACGCCGCUGCCAAGUGAAACGCCAGUGAAAUAGAAGUCACUUCACUGCACUUUGACGUCGUUGGGAGAGUGAGAUCCCUGUGAGCAAUUGUUCUUUUGGGUGAGCUCGUAGUGGAAAGUGAGACCAACACAGUGCAUAUGCAUGUGAGUUGCAUCGUUGGGCCUGUUCAGUGAAGCGAAAUAGUGCAUCCGUUGUUGUCAUUGACCUGCCAUCCAAGAAGUUGCUGUUGCUGUUGCUGGGAUUAUCUGCUGUUGCUGGAAUUGACCGUUGUUGCUAAGAUUGGCUGCUGCUGCUGGAGUUUGUGGACUAAGGUGUUAUCGGAUACAUAUUGCUUGCCGUGUUGCUGUUUUUUGUGGUGGCUGCUGUUUUACCACAACCAGGGUUGUUGUGUGUAUAUUGACCUAUUUACUCAGGUUUCUCUGGGAGGCAGAGUUGUUUCGGCGCACAAGCGUCAGCUCAAGGUAGUACCA